rnacentral:rRNA from 1 species
GAUGAACGCUGGCGGCGUGCCUAAUACAUGCAAGUCGAGCGAACAGACGAGGAGCUUGCUCCUCUGACGUUAGCGGCGGACGGGUGAGUAACACGUGGAUAACCUACCUAUAAGACUGGGAUAACUUCGGGAAACCGGAGCUAAUACCGGAUAAUAUAUUGAACCGCAUGGUUCAAUAGUGAAAGACGGUUUUGCUGUCACUUAUAGAUUGAUCCGCGCCGCAUUAGCUAGUUGGUAAGGUAACGGCUUACCAAGGCAACGAUGCGUAGCAGACCUAAGAGGGAGAUAGGCAACGAUAGAACUGAGAAACGGUACAGACACCUAAGGGAGGCAGCAGUAGGGAAUAUGGAGCAAUGGACGAAAGCCUAACGGCGCAACGCCGCGUGAGUGAUGAAGGUAUUCGGAACGUAAAACUAUGUUAUUAGGGAAGAACAAAUGUGUAAGUAAAUAUGCAAGUCUUGACGGUACCUAAUCAGAAAGCCACGGCUAACUAAGUG